GCCCGCUUGGUGGAAUGGUAGACACAACAGACUUAAAAUCUGUCGGAGGGCAACCUCCGUGCCGGUUCAAGUCCGGCAGCGGGCACCA
rnacentral:tRNA from 3 species